rnacentral:rRNA from 1 species
GAUGAACGCUAGCUACAGGCUUAACACAUGCAAGUCGAGGGGAGACGAUGAGAGAGCUUGCUCUCUUAGUCGUCGACCGGCGCACGGGUGAGUAACGCGUAUCCAACCUGCCUCUGACCAAGGGAUAACCCGUCGAAAGUCGGACUAAUACCUUAUGCAGUCGUCGGAAGUCAUCUGAUGACGACGAAAGAUUUCAUCGGUGAGAGAUGGGGAUGCGUCUGAUUAGCUUGUUGGCGGGGUAACGGCCCACCAAGGCGACGAUCAGUAGGGGUUCUGAGAGGAAGGUCCCCCACAUUGGAACUGAGACACGGUCCAAACUCCUACGGGAGGCAGCAGUGAGGAAUAUUGGUCAAUGGGCGUAAGCCUGAACCAGCCAAGUAGCGUGCAGGAUGACGGCCCUAUGGGUUGUAAGCUGCUUUUAUGCGGGGAUAAAGUGAGGGACGUGUCCUUCAUUGCAGGUACCGCAUGAAUAAGGACCGGCUAAUUCCGUG